rnacentral:rRNA from 1 species
AAUGAACGUUGGCGGCGUGGAUUAGGCAUGCAAGUCGAACGCUUCAUGUAGCAAUACAUGAGGAGUGGCGUAAGGGAGAGUAAUACAUAGUUAGCUGCCCUCGGGUCUGGGAUAGCGGCGGGAAACUGCCGGUAAUACCAGAUGAUAUCUUCGGAUCAAAGGUGUAAUUUCGCCCGAGGAGGUGACUGUGUCCUAUCAGCUUGUUGGCGGGGUAACGGCCC